rnacentral:lncRNA from 1 species
GGGGUACAUGUAAACUACAAGGUAGUGCAGAAAUAAAAGGUCUCAUUGUCAGGUAGCCCAAGAGAAAGCCUUGUGGGUGCAUAGUGCCUUAAACUAGAAAGCGCAUAAAGGAUUACAAAGUCUUCUUGAGUCUUGAAUGCUCCCUCCAUGUUCGGGUCAAGUGCUUGUCCAAAGUCUAUUGCAAAGUUCUUAAUAAGGAGUCCCUAAGUCCAUUGUCCAAUAUUCAUUCCAUGCUUAAAAGUUAUUGCAUUUUUACAUUUUUUUUUUGAAGUUUUUGCCAUUUUAGAUGAUUUUAAGAUGAAUGUGAAGGAUAACCGAUGACAUGAUUUAAUAUGUACAAAAAGCAAAGUAAAGUAAGUAAAUAACAAGAAAUAAAUUGUUAGGAGUUAGAUGCGAAAUGUAAAAGUUAGAUACGGAAUUUAAAUGUUAGAUGCGAAAUUUUAAAGUGUUAAGAGUUAAUGUUAAAUGUUAGCUGUUAAUCAAGAUUAUAAGAUAAAUUAUAAGGGAUCAAAAUUCUAAUGCUAAAUAAUUAACAAAAUAAAUUCUAAAACCAAUUAUCAAAAUUUGUUCUAACAUUAAGUGAAAUUUGGAAUUCAAAAUAAAUCAAAAAAAAAAUAAAAUCAAUUGAAAUUCUAAGAUAGAAACAAUUAUCAAAUUAAAUCAACCUAAACAAUUAUCAAAUAAAAGCUCGAAAAAUGAAAUGAACUUAAACAAACAAUCCAGAAUGGGCCCAAGGUGAGAUUGAAUGAAAGGCCUAAACGGAGUGGGGGUGCUGGACUGGAAAACAGGGUGCAGAAUAAUAAUUCUAUGGGCCUAGGCUCAUGCUGAUUCAACAAAGGGGAUCCAACGUCUCACUCACGUACCAGACCACGUCCCUCUAUUUCAAACCUUCCCUCCAACUCUGGCCGGCGAACCAAACCUCCGCCGCGCCGAAGCUCAUCGCCGCCGGUGGCGGAGCUCCAAACAUGAAAUCUAGGUACCAAAAUGGACCUCUCCACCUCACGGUUUCAAAUCCUCAAACCACAUAUCCUAAUUCUAAACUCACAAGACAAAUCGCGAUCAGACAUGUAUGAAUCCUAAGCUAAUCUAUCAGAAAUUAAACGCGAUAUAGUGGAAAUCAAGCACCAGCAGGUUAGGGCUUCGAUCUCCCUAACAUGAUACUGCACCGUGGAAAUCAAAUCAGAGAAGGAGCACAUGGAUUAAGCAAAUUACCCGCCGUAGACGACAACGGAGACGGCGACGACGAUGACAAUGAUCAUAGGUACACCUCUUCUCAACUUCCUCGUGCCUCUCUCCUUCCCCUCUCGCUUCUGGGACCUACUUUUGUUCAAUAGUCCAAGCGUGAGAAUAUUGGUAAUCGAGUGUUGAAGCUUCCAAUAGUGGUUUAGCUCAGCCGUGUCGAGCUUCGAAUGAUGAAGCUCUCACGACGAUGAAGUGAGCGUAUACUGAGGGUUGGGGAAGGAAUGCAAGAUUCUUUGGAUGAGGAAGAUUCGGUGCCAAUGAUUGGUAAUGAUUGCCUCAUUUAUAAUGUGAUUCACGAGGGUAAUUUAGGGAAUUGAUUUUGAGUUGUUAGGCCUUGAUUUAUC